rnacentral:rRNA from 1 species
UACAGAGGUCUCAAGCGUUGUUCGGAUUCAUUGGGCGUAAAGGGUGCGUAGGCGGCGCGGUAAGUCGGGUGUGAAAUCUCGGGAGCUUAACUCCGAAACUGCAUUCGAUACUGCCGUGCUUGAGGACUGGAGAGGAGACUGGAAUUUACGGUGUAGCGGUGAAAUGCGUAGAUAUCGUAAGGAAGACCAGUGGCGAAGGCGGGGUCUCUGGACAGUUCCU